GUGAGUUCUAACAGGAGAAAAAUGGGUUCUCUCUAAUGAACCCUAAAAUACACAAAAUCAACCAAAUCAAGAGGGCAAAUCAAGACUAAAUAGAAAACCAAGCUAAGAUUAGUGAUCACUCGGGCUAGAGGAUCACAAGUUUGACGCUUAACGAGCUAGGUGGAGGCUUGGGAAAGAAGCGGUCAAAUGGAUCAAGCACGAGAAGAGAAACGUAAACCGGAUGAGAGGUGAAUGUCGAGAGUCCCGGAUGAAGAUCAAGCGGCGAGCAAGAACCGAACACACGUUAAAUGAAGCUUCCGCGACAAAUCUUGAUUUGUUUUGUUAUAAGUGAACUAUGUAAACACUUAUAAAUGUGUUUUUUAAAUGUUGUAAACAUAUGGAAUGUUUG
rnacentral:lncRNA from 1 species